AUGACCAACACUAUGCUAGGUUUGUUGGCUGAUCUUGUUGCUAAAGGAAAGAGAACUUCUAGUGGAUUCACGGAGACACAUCUCAAACAAUGUGUUGCUAUUCUGAAUGAGCAAUUCAAGCUAGCUAUCGCCUCUGAUCAAGUUAGAAACCGUCUCAAGAAGUGGAGGAAGAUUUGGGUCAGGGUUGUCAAUUUGAAGAAUUUAAGUGGAGCUCUAUGGGAUGAAGAUACUUGUACAAUUAGGCUCAGCGAUGAACACUAUGCAGGUCAUUGCAUGACCCACAAACCUGAUGCUCCCUUCUUGAAUAACCCAAUUGAGCACUACCAUGCCAUGGCGACCAUUUUUGGAACAACCGGGGCUAAGGGGAUGAAUGCAAGGUCUGGAAAUGAUCUCCUCUCUAUUGAUGUCGAUGAUGAGGAGAAUGGUGGUGAAUGGUGGGAUCAACACGUCACCACAAGUUGGUGA
rnacentral:rRNA from 1 species